rnacentral:rRNA from 1 species
UACGCAGGGUGCGAGCGUUAAUCGGAAUUACUGGGCGUAAAGCGUGCGCAGGCGGUUUGUUAAGCCAGAUGUGAAAGCCCCGGGCUCAACCUGGGAACUGCGUUUGGUACUGGCAAGCUAGAGUACGGCAGAGGGGGGUGGAAUUCCACGUGUAGCAGUGAAAUGCGUAGAGAUGUGGAGGAACACCGAUGGCGAAGGCAGCCCCCUGGGCCGAUACUGACGCUCAGGCACGGAAGCGUGGGGAGCAAACAGG